rnacentral:rRNA from 1 species
GACGAACGCUGGCGGCGUGCUUAACACAUGCAAGUCGAACGGUGAGGCGCCGUCCUUGUUGGUGGGUGGGGAUGAGUGGCGGACGGGUGAAUAACACGUGAGUAACCUUCCCCCUUCUUCUGGACAACCGCAUGAAAGUGCGACUAAUACGGGAUAUUCUGAGCCUGUCGCAUGAUUGGUCUGGGACAGAUUUUGUUUCGGUUGUGGAUGGGUUCGCGGCCUAUCAGCUUGUUGGUGGGGUGAUGGCCUACCAAGGCGGCGAUGAGUAGCCGCCCUGAGAGGAGGGUCGGCGGCCAUGGUGCGGAGGCGCGGCGGAGCAGACUACUAGGGGCGGCAGUAGUGAAGAAUAUGGAACGGUGGGAGGCAGGAUGAAGCAGCGCCGCGGCGGGGAUGAUGGUGGUCUGAGGGUUGUGAACCUCUUUCGCGAGUGAAGCAGGGCUGCAGCGUCUAUGGGUGGGUUGACGGUAGCUGGACAAGAAGCGCCGGCUAACUACGUG